UUGCUCGCUUCGGCAGCACAUAGACUAAAAUUGGAAUGAUACAGAGAUUAGCAUGCAUGGCCCCCAUGCAAGAAUGACAUGCACAUUCGUGAAGCCUUCCAUAUUUUU
rfam:Tupaia chinensis contig95282, whole genome shotgun sequence.